rnacentral:tRNA from 1 species
AGAAACUUAGGAUAACUUAAACCAAAGGCCUUCAAAGCCUUAAAUAAGAGUGAAACCCUCUUAGUUUCUG